UCUGCGCAAAGAACAGAGAAAAAAAAACAUCUAUCAACAACACAUGACUUAUAACCAUGGAUACAAGACUUCCAACGCUUUUCUACAUCACAUGACUUUUUACAAGCUUUCCCGUACUUGUGACAAGGAACCUGGGUCUCAAAAUUCUCGAGACUUUUUGCGGAUUGCAGUUUGAUAAUUGGCUUCUCGGACCCGAAAAGUUCUCGGGACUGUCGAGAAACUGGCCGCUGCUCUCAAGGAAGGAGCCAUAUUUCAUGAUUUCCCGUGCACAACCGGGUCCCCCGUUUCCCGCGCUUGGAGAUGAUUCAAUUACAACUGGCUCCUCAGCUUACUGCACUUAAACGAAAAAAGGAAAAAAAAAAAAAAAAAAAUAAAUAAAUAAAAAUCCCGCCCUUACGGCAGGUUCCCUAUGCUUUCCUGCGCAUGCCCCAGCCCUCACUGCUGGUUCCUUAAGUUUUCACGCCUUUGUUACAGGUUCCAUCUUUUCCCGCCAUUACUGCAGGUUUCAUGUUUUCCCGCCCUUGUUGCAGGUUCCUUAUGCUUUCCCGCCCAUGUCCCAGGUUCCAUGUUUGCCAGCCCUUACUGCAGGUUCCCUAAGUUUCACGCCCUUGUUACAGGUUCCAUGUUUCCCGCCCUUGUUGCUGGUUCCCUAUGUUUUCCCGCCCUUGUUGCUGGUUCCCUAUGUUUUCCCGCCCUUGUUGCAGGUUCCCUAUGUUUUACCACCCAUGUCCAAGAUUCCAGAUCCCCAGCCCUUACUGCAGAUUCCUUAAGUUUCCACGCCCUUGUUGCAGGUUCCAUGUUUUACCGCACUUACUGAAGGCUUUACAUGUUUUCCCGCCCUUUUUGCGAGUUCCCUCUUUUCCCGCCAUUGCUAUGGGUUCCAUAAGUUUUCGCGCCCUUGUUACAAGUUCCAUGUUUUCUCGCCCUUACUGCAGGGUACAUGUUUUCCCGCACUUGUUGCAGGUUCCUUACGUUUUCCCGCCCUCGUUGCAGGUUCCAUAUGUUUUCCCGCCCUCGUACAGGUUCCAUGUUCUUAAUGUUUUCUCGCCCUAGUUGCAGAUUCCAUAUGUUUCCCUGCCCUUGUUAAAGGUUCCAUGUUUCCCAGCCCUUGUUGUAGGGUCCCUGUGUUUUCUCGCCCUUGUUGCAGGGUCCAUAUCUUUUCCCGCCUUUCUUACAGGUUUCAUGCUUCCCAGCCCUUACUGCAGGUUCCCUAUGUUUUUUUUUCGCCCUUGUUGCAGGUUCCAUAUGUUUUGCUGCCCUUAUUGGAUGUUCCACACAUUUUCCUACCUUUGUUACAGGUUCCAUGUUUUGCCACCCUUACUACAGGCUCCUUAUGUUUUCCCGCCCUUGCUGCAGGUUCAAGAUAUUUUUCCACUCACAUUGCAGGCUCCCUAUGUUUUCCCGCCCUUAUGGCAGCUUCCAUAACUAACCCCCCCCCACCUCCCCAAAUCGUCAUAGUAGGUUUCACAUGAUAUGUCGACGUUGCUGCAGGAUGCAUGUUUUGCAGCCCUAUAAACCAGUUUGUGAAUUCUUCCCGGCAGUGCUACAGGUAGUUUGAUUUCCAGCUAUCUGUGCUUUUCGGCCUUAGCUAGGAACAGUUUGUGUUUUCUUGUUUUCAUGCCCUUACAUCAGAUCCCAUGUUUUUCCACAAUCUUCAAAAGAAUCCAUGUUUUC